UGAGACACAACUACAGCUGUUUUAUUACCGUCACCUACAAGUGUGACCGUAACAGCAAGGAAAAUACAUCUGUCUGUUGUUCACUGGGAAAAUUACUGCUCCUAAAUGAGCUAUCAGCAAAGGCUGCAGCUGUGUUCAGAGGCAAGCUGGCUGCAUAAAAACACAAAUCUCUGCAAUAGGUUAACAUGGUUAAAAGCUCCUGUUCUGCCAUGGACUCUCCUGAUAACCUCAGCCAGGCCUUUCCCUGCAGAGACAGGGGACAGAUGCUCAUGAAUAUAACGACACAAGGAAGACGAUAGAGGUGACUGUUAUUCUCUCCCACCAAGAAGCAGUUGGUUUGAGAGAUGCCUUUGGCAGCUGGAUGUAUUGCUGCUUCAAGAGGCUCUGCAGCUGAAAUCCCUGCUUUGUAUCUCAAUAAAGGAUCGCUCUGCCUCUUCUCCCUCCGUAGAGCGCAACCUA